rnacentral:rRNA from 1 species
AGAGUUUGAUCCUGGCUCAGAUUGAACGCUGGCGGCAGGCUUAACACAUGCAAGUCGAGCGGGGGAAGGUAGCUUGCUACUGGACCUAGCGGCGGACGGGUGAGUAAUGCUUAGGAAUCUGCCUAUUAGUGGGGUACAACAUCUCGAAAGGGAUGCUAAUACCGCAUACGUCCUACGGGAGAAAGCAGGGGAUCUUCGGACUUUGCGCUAAUAGAUGAGCCUAAGUCGGAUUAGCUAGUUGGUGGGGUAAAGGCCUACCAAGGCGACGAUCUGUAGCGGGUCUGAGAGGAUGAUCCGCCACACUGGGACUGAGACACGGCCCAGACUCCUACGGGAGGCAGCAGUGGGGAAUAUUGGACAAUGGGGGGAACCCUGAUCCAGCCAUGCCGCGUGUGUGAAGAAGGCCUUAUGGUUGUAAAGCACUUUAAGCGAGGAGGAGGCUACUUUAGUUAAUACCUAGAGAUAGUGGACGUUACUCGCAGAAUAAGCACCG